AUGAAGUCAUAUGAAGAUGAAAGCGUAGUAUCUGUUCCUAUUAGCUUAAUAUCUUAUACGCAUAACCCCCAUCAGUAGUAAACACAUUUUUAGAACGAGGCGAAGAAUUAAGGGCUUGUUCCACCUUUGCCACAGGUUGGCCGGGUAUUGCAGUACUUCCAGGAUUCAGUUCAUGAUUU
rnacentral:snRNA from 1 species